rnacentral:rRNA from 1 species
AGAGUUUGAUCCUGGCUCAGAACGAACGCUGGCGGCAGGCCUAACACAUGCAAGUCGAGCGCACCUUCGGGUGAGCGGCGGACGGGUGAGUAACGCGUGGGAACGUGCCCUUCUCUGCGGAAUAGCCACUGGAAACGGUGAGUAAUACCGCAUACGCCCUUCGGGGGAAAGAUUUAUCGGAGAAGGAUCGGCCCGCGUUAGAUUAGGUAGUUGGUGGGGUAAUGGCCUACCAAGCCUACGAUCUAUAGCUGGUUUGAGAGGAUGAUCAGCCACACUGGGACUGAGACACGGCCCAGACUCCUACGGGAGGCAGCAGUGGGGAAUCUUAGACAAUGGGCGCAAGCCUGAUCUAGCCAUGCCGCGUGAGUGAUGAAGGCCUUAGGGUCGUAAAGCUCUUUCGCUGGGGAAGAUAAUGACUGUACCCAGUAAAGAAACCCCGGCUAACUCCGUGCCAGCAGCCGCGGUAAU